rnacentral:misc_RNA from 1 species
GUUGUGAUUUAUUGAGUUUGAAAAGGGAAGAAAAGAAAAUUGUUUGGAAAAAAGUGGUUAUGAUGAUAGUUAUAGCAACUGUGCUGGUCCUGGUGAUUAUGGUAAUUGUUGUGUUUGUGGCAAUGGUGCUCAUAUGUUGGCAGAGUUAAAUGAAGGUUGCAUUGCUCUAGUGUUGACUGGUGAUUGGUGAAAGUGGUAGUGGUUGUAGGAUUGGGAAUGGUAAUGGUGGUGUUACUGCCUGAUAGUGUUGAAGUGAUCUGGUGGAAAAUGAUGAUUCCA